GGAGGUUGGCUUAGAAGCAGCCAUCCUUGAAAGAGUGCGUAAUAGCUCACUGGUCAAGUGAUUCUGCGCCGAUAAUGUAGCGGGGCUCAAGUACACCGCCGAAGUUGUGGCAAUCAGUCUUUGUGGCUGGUUGGGUAGGGGAGCGUCCUGCACGAGGUGAAGCUGCCACGGGAGUGUGUGGUGGAUUGUGUGGGAGUGAGAAUGCAGGCAUGAGUAGCGAAUCACGGGUGAGAAACCCGUGCGCCGGAUGAUCAAGGGUUCCAGGGUCAAGUUAAUCUGCCCUGGGUUAGUCGGGGCCUAAGGCGAGGCCGACAGGCGUAGUCGAUGGAGAACGGGUUGAUAUUCCCGUACCAGUGAAGGACCGUCCAUACUGAUAUUGUGAUGCUAACCAUGCCGAUCACGGUGUCAUGAAGUUUUUCUUUGUGGUGUUGUGGGGUGUGUGGGACCCAAGCUUUGGAGGUAAGCGUGUUAACAGGUGUGACGCAGGAAGGUAGCCAAGCCACGCGGUGGUUGUCGUGGUCUAAGCGUGUAGGAUGACUGGUUGUUAAAUGCGCCGGUUGUGUGUCUGAGACGUGAUGGGACCCCUUGUUUGUGGGGGAUUUGGUGAUCCUAUGCUGCCGAGAAAAGCAUCGGCGUGAGGUUUUAGCUGCCCGUACCCGAAACCGACACAGGUGAUCAGGUAGAGAAUACUAAGGCGAUCGAGAGAAUCAUGGUUAAGGAACUCGGCAAAAUGCCCCCGUAACUUCGGGAGAAGGGGGGCCCGAUCCCUUGAAGCCCCGUGGCGGGCUAGGGGGGUGGGUCGCAGAGACCAGGGGGAAGCGACUGUUUACUAAAAACACAGGUCCGUGCGAAGCCGUAAGGCGAUGUAUACGGACUGACGCCUGCCCGGUGCUGGAAGGUUAAGAGGAACCAUCAACCCUCUCGGGGGUGAAGUGGUGAAUUUAAGCCCCAGUAAACGGCGGUGGUAACUAUAACCAUCCUAAGGUAGCGAAAUUCCUUGUCGGGUAAGUUCCGACCUGCACGAAUGGAGUAACGACUUCCCUACUGUCUCAACCAUGAACUCGGUGAAAUUGCAGUACGAGUAAAGAUGCUCGUUUCGCGCAGCAGGACGGAAAGACCCCGGGACCUUUACUAUAGCUUGGUAUUGGUGUUCGGUACGGCUUGUGUAGGAUAGGUGGGAGACUGUGAACCGGUCACGCUAGUGGGCGGGGAGUCGUUGGUGAAAUACCACUCUGGCCGUGCUGACCAUCUAACCUCGGUCCGUGAUCCGGGCCAGGGACAGUGCCUGGUGGGUAGUUUAACUGGGGCGGUUGCCUCCUAAAGGGUAACGGAGGCGCUCAAAGGUUCCCUCAGCCUGGUCGGCAACCAGGUGUUGAGUGCAAGUGCACAAGGGAGCUUGACUGUGAGACCGACGGGUCGAGCAGGUACGAAAGUAGGAACUAGUGAUCCGGCGAUCCCGUGUGGGUGGGUCGUCGCUCAACGGAUAAAAGGUACCCCGGGGAUAACAGGCUGAUCCUGCCCAAGAGUCCAUAUCGACGGCAUGGUUUGGCACCUCGAUGUCGGCUCGUCGCAUCCUGGGGCUGGAGUCGGUCCCAAGGGUUGGGCUGUUCGCCCAUUAAAGCGGUACGCGAGCUGGGUUCAGAACGUCGUGAGACAGUUCGGUCCCUAUCCGCUGCGCGCGUUGGAGAAUUGAGAAAGGCUGUCCUUAGUACGAGAGGACCGGGACGGACGAACCUCUGGUAUGUCAGUUGUACCGCCAGGUGCAUGGCUGAUUGGCUACGUUCGGGAGGGAUAACCGCUGAAAGCAUCUAAGCGGGAAGCUUGUUUCGUGAUGAGUUCUCCUGGCACCCUUUGG
rnacentral:rRNA from 1 species